rnacentral:piRNA from 1 species
UGAGUUCUUAUGAUGGGAUAAUAGCGGAGG